rnacentral:lncRNA from 1 species
UCCCCUACAGUCCUACCUAUAUAUAACUUGUAAGCAGGUUUAUCAUAUGUGAUUCGAAUAACUUGAUCAUAGUCCUCAGCAUUUAAAUGAUUCACAGUUUAAUCACAUGCCAGGAUCUUGCCUCAGGUGACGAAAUGAAGCAAGGUUAAAAUUUGAUCAAGAAGGUGUACGAUUAAAAUUUUCAAGAUGUCUAUAUCAUCCAGAUUAAUGAGAAAUUCAUACUUCUUUUCCAAAUACCACAUUCUUUCAGUUCCAAAGUAAUUCAGAUUUCUCUAGUUUAACUUUUGAAAUGCUUGCAAACUCUUGAGUAUUUUCUCAACUUAGUGAACAUUCUCCACUCCAAUUUCAAGUGGUUCAUAAAUUCUGACUUAAUCCUUCUAUAGAAUUUAAAAUGCCAAGUGUCCCCGCAAAUGGAUGAAUAAUCUAAACUGACUUGUACCUUCAUGAAGAAAAUUGCAGGAAACUAUCCUUUUCUCAUGAAUACAUUCUAUUUGGAAUCUAACUGGGCCAAAUUCUAAAGUACACAAGAAAAUGAUUACAGCAACCUCCUUCAGCUCAAACAGCAUUUGAAACCAAGACCAAAUCUAUCAUUAAAACUAUUGCUUGUACACUUCCUUAUACAAAGAAAUUUAACUGCCAGGCAAUGAAGGUGGUUCUUCCAUUUCAAACUCCACAAUCAAUCAUGUACCAAAGCAUCCAUGAGGAUAACUAUGAUCUAUGAUCAUUGGCGACAACGAGAAGUAGCAAUAACCAUUUAUUUCAAUUUCUUUUAGUAACCGAGACAUUUGUUGAUCUAAAACCUAGAGUAUUAGAGUUUAACAAUGUUAAUGAAUGUUUAAUAAUAUUCCUAAAUUACUUGGAUGAGAAUUCAAACAUUCAAAUUAUACUCACUCGAAAAAGAAUUUAGCAGAAAAUACUGAUUACUUACACCACAGUUCAGAUAUAAAAAAAAAAAAAAAAAAAAAAAAAAGAGGCAGAUGCCUUCAUUGCAGCCAGAAGAGAACUUACCCAAGGUUGUCGACAUUGACUAUAAGGUGUUCUCAUAAAUUCUGUUCUGCACAAGGAUGUACACGUGCCUGCACAGAAUGAAUCAAAGUCACAAUACAGUGAAUAAAAUGAUAACGGGUACAGAUUCCAAAUACUAAACCCAGUUAAGAAAUGAGCACAUACCUCUUGCAAGCUGUUUAACAGCCUGAAUGCCAAUUCUUGAAAAUCUAGAAACUUGCAUAAUUGCCCACCUUAAUACCUCCUAUUUUCCCCAAACAAAAUACAAGGAAAGCAAUCGGAACUAUAAGAACGCAUAUUACAUCUUGAGAAAAGAAGGGCAACUGAAGUUAUCCUCCAUGGAAAGGUUUCCUCAGUCUACAAAUCUGUACAGCUAUUAUGCUAGCAUAAAUUGCAGCUCAAAUAACUCAUACCAGUCAAAACCUCAAUACCGGCCCAAAAAUGAAAUUGAAAAGUAAGCUUACUCGGAUUGGUAAAUUUUAUUCGAUCAAAGACAAAGAAGUAAAGACAUAGAAUAGCAGAAGGAGAACCUUUCUUAUAAGAAGCCAAGAGAAAGUCUACGAUCUAACUUGCAAUCAGCGCUGAGGUUUGAGUGCUGCAAGGUUUUUGGUAGAGGCGUACAAUCUAGGGAUGUACCGUACCGGGUAGAGUAACCGCCAAAUUUUGGGUACCCAAACCCAAACCCAUUUAUAAAUACACUAAAUUAAUCCGUCACAAACCAGUUUAUAGUAGUAAAGAGUAUUUUAUGGCAUAUGUGGAUUUAGGGAUAUGUGGAUUUAGGGAUGGGAACGGAUAGGGUAUUUUUGGGUAUUCGAUUCGAUCGAAUACUGAUAGAAUAAAUUUGGGUAGUUAUAAUUGGGUUUCUAAUAGAUUUGAAUUUUAAAAAUAAUAUUCGUUAUGGGUUCGAAUGAGAUUCGGAUUUUAUAUACAAGGUAUCCAUUACCCAAACCUGUUUACAUAAAUAAUUAAUUUAAUAUAAAAAAUAUAUUUUAUAAUAAUAUUUAUAAAUUUUUUUUAUAUAUUUUUAUUUAAAAAUUUAAAAUUAAAUAUUCUUUAGAAAUAUUAAAUUUUUUAAAUGAAAAUUAUUAAUGAAAAAUAUUUUUUAUAUAAAUUAUUAAUUAAAAUAUAUAAAAUUAAACGAAUUCGAAUUUUAUUCGGAUAAUAAUAAUCAAAUUUAGAAUCAAUUUGAAUAGUUUAAAUUAAUUUUUAAUCGGGUUCGGAUAUUACUAAUAUAAAUUAGAUUCGGGUUCGGGUUCGAGUAGUUUAAUUUUCGCGGAUAUCCUACCCGUUUACAUCCCUAUGUGUAUUAAUCUAUAUUAAAAAUUAAAAUUAUUUUAUAUAUAAUAAAUUAUUUUAUGUUUUUAAUAUUUAAGUUUAUGUAUUUAUUAAUUUAUGGGUAUAAAUAUAUCAUAUAUUUUCUCUCUAUUCAAUUAAUUUUAUUUAUUAUUUAUAAUAUUUUUUUGAAAUGAAAAAAAUUAAAAUUUAAAAUUUUUUAAAUUUAUUCUGAUACACGUAUCAUAAAUUUAAAUAUGUAAGUACAUUAUUUAUAGUAUUAAAACUGCUAGAUGUAUAUUAAUUUAAGCCUAAUGUUAUAUGUAACAAAGUAUUAAUGUUUUUAAUAUUUCUAAUAAAUAAAAAACUAUUAUUUUUAUGAGAAGUGUAAUUGUGUUCUCUCUUUUUAUUUCCUCUUAGCAGGCCGUUCAGUGAUAGCUAGUUCUAAAACAGCCUACUGUGCGGGCUGAUAUUAUGAAAAUUGGGCCAAGGUAGGCCACAAAAAAUGGAGAUGCAGGGUAUCGAACCCUGUACCUCUCGCAUGCAAAGCGAGCGCUCUACCGUUUGAGCUACAUCCCCAAUACACCAGUAUUAACUUAUCUGGAUUUUAUAGAAAUUAUUAUUUAAUUUAAUCUAUAUAUUAUAAAAAAUUUUAUUAAUUAAUUUAUGAAUUUUAAAAAAUAUAUUAAAAUAUUCAUAAAAUUUUAAAAAUUUUAUUAAUUAAUUAAUUUAUUAAUUUAGCUUAAAUAUUUAAAAUAUCUUCAUAAGAAAAGAUUAAUUUGUAUUUAUAAAAUUAAUUAAUGAGUUUUCCAAUUAUAUAAGUUAAAUAAUAAAAUAUUUAAAAGUUAAAAUUAUUUUUUUUAAUUUUGAAAAAUAUUAUAAUAUAUUUUUUAAAAUUAAAAUAUUAAUUAAUGAAUUUCACACACCAAAUAUAUUAAAUAAUAAAUUUUCCCUCUCCAAUUCAUUAAUACUCCAUCUUGAAAAUAAAACAAAAAAAAAAUCAGUAGAUGGAUAACCUUUUUUUUUUCGCAUUUUAAAACAUUGAAAAAUUAAAAUAUUUUAAAAUAAAUAAAUAAAUUUAAAUUCAAGAUUUCAAUUUAAGUUUAAUAUGUCACGUCAUAAGAGUAUAUUUUCCUGAAUUUAAUUUUAAAAUUAUGAAUUCUUUUUAUUAAAUUGUUAAAAUUAAAAUAUUUAAAUAAAAUCCUCAAAUAAAAAAAGUAAAAUUUAUUAUAUUUUUUAAAUAUUUUCGUAAUGAUAGAAUAUAAUAGAGUCUAUAAAUUAAAAAAUAUAAAUUUUAUUAUUUUCAAUAUAUUAACUACAUUUCUUGAAGUAAAUAUUAACAAUUAUAGAUAUAUUUUUAUUGGAUAGAAGAAUCAUUAAUUUUUAGAAUAUUUUAAUUAACUUAAUUUAAUUAAAAAGUAAAAAAAAUUAAAAAACUAAAAUUUUAUGAAAAUAAAAUAUAAUAUUAAAUAAAGAGAGUCAUUUUUUUUCACUCACAAACUUAGUCUAAUAUAAAUGCAUUUGAGAGAUCUCAAAUUCUACUGAUUCAAUCUCUGAUCCCUUUCUAAAAAAAAAAAUAUUUUUUAUCUUUCAUACUCAUAUAAAUCUUAAAUUUUAUAUAGUUUUAAAAUUAUUCAUUCAUAUGCAUUUUUAUAAAUUGCUAAUUACUAUAAAUAAAGAAAAAUAUAUUUUUUUAUUUUUUGAAUGAUUAAAAUUAUAGGAGUAAAAUAUUAAACACAUAAUUAAUUAUAAAUAUAAAUAAUUACUAAUUUUAAUUGAUCCAAUUAAAACAUAGAAAAAUAAAAAAAUAAUUCAAAAAAAUCCAAGAAAAGGAAAAAUGUAAAUGUUAAAUAAAGAGAGGAGGUAGGCUUUGUUCUUUACAGUAAAAAGAACAAGAACACGAAAUAAAUCAAAAAUUGUUUUUCUAAUAAAUUACAAACUGAAUUUGAAUUUAGUCUAAAUAAUCAAACUGCGAAAAACGAAUUAAAUUUACUUAGUUUAAUUUUUUCUGUGAAAAUCAAUUGUUAUAUUGCAUUUUUUAAUCUUCAAUUAAUUUAAAUUUAAAUUUAAAUAUAAAAUUAUAAUAAUUCAUUGACCCCGUACCUCUCGCAUGCAAAGCGAGCGCUAUACCGUUUGAGCUAUAUCCCCCACGCCGACUUCAACAAAUUUCGACCGAUCCUUGUUGUUUAAAAAGGAAAAAAUAAUUAAUUAUUUCCUUGUUUUUUAAUUAGUAUAUUAAAAUAUUUUAAAAGUAAAUUCGAUUCCAAUUUAAUGUUUAUAGUAUUUUUAUUUUGAUUUUAAUUUUAAUAUAAUUUUUUUAUAAUUAUCGUUUCUAUAAUAAAAUUUAAAUUUUAUUGUUAAUUAAACAUUUUUAAUAUAAUAUUAAUAUUAUCUAUAUUAAAUUUUAAGUUUAAAAUAAUAUUUAAAUUUAAUAUAUAAUAUAAAAUUUUUAUUUGAAAUAUAUUAAAAUAUUAAAUAACCAAAUAAUUUUUACUAUUAUAAUUUUUAAAUUUUUAAAACAAAAAAAAUAAAAGAACUCUCAAUAGAAUUUUAAAAAUUUUAUUGCAAUUUUUUUAAAAAAAACUCUAAUUAAAUGAUUUUUAUUUUUUUUAAUAUAUUAUAAAUUUAUUUAAUUUUCUUUGUUUUAUAUAGCAAACUAUGUAGUUUAAUUGAAAAUAAUUUUUUUUAAAAAAUAGUUAUAAACAUUUUAAUUUAAUUUAUUUAUAAUUUUAUUAAUAUAUAUAUAUUAUAGUUAAAAAUUAUAUAUAUAUAAUUAAUUUUAAUAAUUUAUAUUCAAUUACUAUAAAAUUUAUUAAUGUGUUAUUAAAAAAUCUAUUAAUGUGGAGAAAGGGUAUAUGCAUAAUAUAUUUAAAUAAACGAACUAGAAUCCACUAAUUAAAUUAUAUCAUUAUAAAUUUUUUUAAUAAUUGAUUAAUGAAUAAAAUAUAUAAUAAUUUAAUAUUAUUUUUUAUAUAUAGUUAAUAAUAACAAUUAUAUAUAUAUAUAUAUAUAUAUACUUAUAAUUUUAGUAAUAUAAUUUUAUCAGUAUGAGAUAGUGUACAUAUUAUAUGUAUGAUUUAUUUAGAUGGAAUAAAUUAUAAUGAAUUAAUUAAAUUAGUUAAAUAAAAUAAUAAAAAAUAUUUAAUAAUUAAAUAAUAAAAUUCAAACUUUAGAGCCUAACUUCACAUUGUUAUGCAGCUACUAUAUAAGAAUGAACUGACAUACCAUGACAAUCACAUGACAUGUUGAACAAGCAAGUGAGCCUUCACAUGCUCCUGAGAUGGCAUUAACAUUAUACAAUUAAACUACAAAAGUAUUGGCUCGCUAGUACCCAUCUAUUUUCAGCUAUAAUAUUAAGAAGACAAAAAGAACCAAGGGGAAACUAUCACUGUUGGAAAAGGAAUAUAAGCGGAAUAUGCUAUGAGUAUAUUGUUAUGAUGCAUUGUUUAUGGGAACAGAAGACAAAUGAUGGGCCAAAUUUUUUAAAACUGGACUUUAGUAGGAUUAAGAUCCAAAUAAGACACGAUUACAGAUAAAACAUUGUAAUCGACACAGAGACGAAAACACAAAAUUAAAACUGCAUCAAUACUACCUUCAAGUUCUAUAUCAUUUUCAUGAGCAGCUUCCAACAUAGACAUUCCAACUGGAACUUUGAUGUGCUUUUCCUCUCCAUCCUUAUCCACAAAUGUUACAGAUAUCCUGAAAACAUUGUCAAAGAUGUUCAGAACCAAAAAGUAUGAUUGGACAAAUGCCAUGGCAUGUUUAACCAAGGAUGAUGAUGCAUUCUAGACUCCAAUUGAAGACCGGUGCAGAUGAUAAUAUGAAUUUCAUAUAAUAUGAGUUCAUCAUGAGCAUCAUAUCCCUUCAGUGCAUACCAUAUCAAAUUCGAAUAAAAAUUUUCAUCCUAUAAAUUAGGAAUCAAAUUAUUUAAGACAAGGAUAGUGAUUAGUUAUUGAUAAGCAAACUAAGUAAACACAAAAGAAGAUGAAACAGAACUGUUUGUACAGUUUAUCUGGUGAGCAUAAAAGGUCCUUGGUGGAUGAUUGAUCUCAUUCAAGUUUGGAGAGAUCCAAUUGGCCAAACAAACAAACAAGCAACAUUCAGUAUACAGUCUCGAUGGGAGAGGAUUGUAAGUCCAGGAGAAACUUCCAAAAUUACUGCUUAUGGGCUUCUGGUCUUCAGAAUCUACUCGAGACAACACCUAAUUAUGUCAAAGUUUAUGUUAUUUCAGAAGAUGUCAGUCUGAACCUUCCUUCCAAACAAGGUACGUAAGUAUGAAAUUAUGCAUUCUUCAUGACUGCCACAUUCUGGAGACUUAACAACCUACCCCAUUUCAAUGAAAAUUAGCCUAUGAAAUUACUGUUUUUGAGCUUCUAGACUUCCUCAGAAUCUAAUUUGACUUUAUUAUACAGUUUUGAGAGGGUUUCUUUGUUAACUUAGCUCCCAAAGAGAGAAAAAUAUAAAUAUUUUUCAUAAUGUUGCACUUUCUCAAAUUGUCAAUUCAAAAGAGCUUACGUGUCCUUCCCUUCGCUUCCAACCCCAAUAUCACUACCAGAAGCUGUGGUAGAAAACAGAUAAUGCUUCUGAAAUAAGGUACCUUGGAACACCUUCCGCUCUGGAUAUAAUUCAAACUGUUCCAAAAGUUAAUAAUCAAUGAACAUCCAAAAAUAAGAAUAAUGAGAUAAAUAGAAAUUAGUUUAAAAUUAAUAUAGGUCCCCUACAAUCCUACCUAUAUGUAACUUGUAAGCAGGUUUAUCAUAUGUGAUUCGAAUGAGUUGAUCAUAGUCCUCAGCAUUUAAAUGAUUCACAGUUUAAUCACAUGCCAGGAUCUUGCCUCAGGUGACGAAAUGAAGCAAGGUUAAAAUUUGAUCAAGAAGGUGUACGAUUAAAAUUUUCAAGAUGUCUAUAUCAUCCAGACUAAUGAGAAAUUCAUACUUCUUUUCCAAAUACCACAUUCUUUCAGUUCCAAAGUAAUUCAGAUUUCUCUAGUUUAACUUUUGAAAUGCUUGCAAACUCUUGAGUAUUUUCUCAACUCAGUGAACAUUCUCCGCUCCAAUUUCAAGUGGUUCAUAAAUUCUGACUUAAUCCUUCUAUAGAAUUUAAAAUGCCAAGUGUCACCGCAAAUGGAUGAAUAAUCUAAACUGACUUGUACCUUCAUGAAGAAAAUUGCAGGAAACAAU